rnacentral:tRNA from 1 species
AUUCCUUUAGUAUCAAUAAGUACACUUGACUUCCAAUCAAGCAGUUCCAAUCUACCUUGGAAAGGAAUA